GCUCCGGGGCCUAGUGGUUAGAGCGUCCGCUUCUGAUGCGGGAGAUCGCGGGUUCGAAACCCGGCUGAGUUAUGCA